rnacentral:rRNA from 1 species
GCUAGCGGCAGGCCUAAUACAUGCAAGUCGAACGAUACUACCGGGCUUGCUCGGUAGGAAAGUGGCGCACGGGUGCGUAACGCGUAUGCAACCUACCAUAAUCAGGGGGAUAGCCCGAAGAAAUUCGGAUUAACACCGCAUAAAAACACAGGAUAGCAUUAUCCAAUGUUCAAAUAUUUAUAGGAUUAAGAUGGGCAUGCGUGUCAUUGGCUAGUUGGCGGGGUAACGGCCCACCAAGGCGACGAUGACUAGGGGAUCUGAGAGGAUGACCCCCCACACUGGUACUGAGACACGGACCAGACUCCUACGGGAGGCAGCAGUAAGGAAUAUUGGUCAAUGGAGGGAACUCUGAACCAGCCAUGCCGCGUGCAGGAAGACAGCCCUCUGGGUCGUAAACUGCUUUUAUUCGGGAAUAAACCUACUUACGUGUAAGUAGCUGAAUGUACCGAAGGAAUAAGGAUCGGCUAACUCCGUGCCAGCAGCCGCGGUAAUACGGAGGAUCCAAGCGUUAUCCGGAUUUAUUGGGUUUAAAGGGUGCGUAGGCGGCUUAUUAAGUCAGGGGUGAAAGACGGUGGCUCAACCAUCGCAGUGCCCUUGAUACUGAUGAGCUUGAAUGGAC